GGUCCAUUAUACUUACGCUAAGUACCGAGACUGCAUGUUGUAACACAGCAAAGAAAUAAACGCUGGACCCUUUUCAGACAAGCCUGUUUCCUAGGCCUCCUGCACACAGACGUAUUAUGGUGCCAUAAAAGUUCUACUGUGAUGCAGAAUCCUAAAAGGUUUCCUGGCAAAGUGUCAAGCAAGGGCUAAAGAACCGGUUCACACAAAAGCCCUACCCUUUUGUGACCCCUCCCACCAAACAGCAGAACUUAGGGGCAUCGCAAUGUCCCUCCCUGCAAUAUUUAAGGGGAGCUCAAGUUAAAAUUAAAUUCCGAUAUAUCGUGGAUAGAUGUUAAAGUCUGAUGGUAGACAGCCACAAAUUUCCAGAGUGAAACACUUGUGAUAAUUGAACCCUAUGGGACAAACUACGCUGCUCAAAAAAAUAAAGUGAAC